rnacentral:rRNA from 1 species
UACAGAGGGUGCAAGCGUUGUUCGGAAUUAUUGGGCGUAAAGGGCGCGUAGGCGGUGCGAUAAAUCUGCAGUGAAAUCUCUGGGCUCAACUCAGAGUCUGCUGUGGAAACUGCCAUGCUUAAGUGUAAAAAAAAUAAAUGGAAUUCCCAGUGUAGCGGUGAAAUGCGUAGAUAUCGGGAGGAACACCUGUGGCGAAAGCGGCUCACUGGACCACAACUGACGCUGAGGCGCGAAAGCUAGGGGAGCAAACAGG